rnacentral:tRNA from 1 species
GGCUCUGUAGCUCAGUGGCAGAGCGCCGCUCUCAUGAGGCGGAGGUCGAGAGUUCAAUCCUCUCCAGAGCCA